rnacentral:ncRNA from 2 species
ACUAAAACAUUAAAGAUAAUUUUUUCCUCAGUGGAAAUUUUCUAUUUGAACAUAAAUCCAUCAAACUUUUUUUUCUCGUGUGUGUUUACAUAUGUAUAAUUUUACAUAUAAGUAUAGUGCCUUUAGGAAACAGCUUGCUGAUCUCGUGUAGCUAGUGUGUGCUCUUGUAGCUGUCUUUAAUUUUGUCUUUUUUAUUUUAUUUAGCAUAGUCAUGAUCUUAUGACUGUGAUGUUCCAGUAAAUGUAAUGCUCGUAUGGCAGAGACGCUGAAAAUGCUGCAGUUCAACCUUGCAAAAUUGGCUUUAACUGCAGUUUGUUUGGCCGAAAUCCUUCUGUUUGGUUUGAGUUUUUUCUUUGUUUUGUUAACUUCUAAAAAUCAAUAUGGCAUUUCAUUUUGUUCUUGUGUUGUUGGCUAUGCAUCUUAGAGGGAAAAAAGUUACUUAAGCAGACUUCUCAGUUUUUUUUCCUCUUCUCCAAUUAUCCUGUAGGAAAUUCACAGUAUGGCCAACAGCAAGAUGCAUACCAGGGACCACCUCCACAACAGGGAUAUCCACCCCAGCAGCAGCAGUACCCAGGGCAGCAAGGUUACCCAGGACAGCAGCAGGGCUACGGUCCUUCACAGGGUGGUCCAGGUCCUCAGUAUCCUAACUACCCACAGGGACAAGGUCAGCAGUAUGGAGGAUAUAGACCAACACAGCCUGGACCACCACAGCCACCCCAGCAGAGGCCUUAUGGAUAUGACCAGGGACAGUAUGGAAAUUACCAGCAGUGAAAAA